GACGAACGCUGGCGUCGUGCCUAAUACAUGCAAGUAGAACGCUGAAGAGAGGAGCUUGCUCUUCUUGGAUGAGUUGCGAACGGGUGAGUAACGCGUAGGUAACCUGCCUGGUAGCGGGGGAUAACUAUUGGAAACGAUAGCUAAUACCGCAUAAAAUGGAUUAUCGCAUGAUAAUCCAUUGAAAGGUGCAAAUGCAUCACUACCAGAUGGACCUGCGUUGUAUUAGCUAGUUGGUGGGGUAACGGCUCACCAAGGCGACGAUACAUAGCCGACCUGAGAGGGUGAUCGGCCACACUGGGACUGAGACACGGCCCAGACUCCUACGGGAGGCAGCAGUAGGGAAUCUUCGGCAAUGGACGGAAGUCUGACCGAGCAACGCCGCGUGAGUGAAGAAGGUUUUCGGAUCGUAAAGCUCUGUUGUAAGAGAAGAACGAGUGUGAGAGUGGAAAGUUCACACUGUGACGGUAUCUUACCAGAAAGGGACGGCUAACUACGUG
rnacentral:rRNA from 1 species